GCUGAUUCCACCCCUAUUCUUCCACACUUUGGACUUGCUAUAAAAAAUCAUAUUUGGAGGCAAAGUGGAACAAGAUAUAUAGUUUUAGAGAAGCCUAGGCGUGGAAAUUAAAAAUGUCUAUCUAAAAGAACACAGUUACAUGGCCUCUGUUAAUGCUGGUUUUCUUUGUACUGUGCAUGAAUUCGUGGUGUGAACAUGGUGAAGCAGCAAGAAUCUUCUCAGACUUCUCUGCAAUUCCAUGACGCAGAGGCUUGGCGGACUAGACAGCAACCGCCGGAGCACCAGGGAGUCUCCCGGAGGGAGCUAUCCUGCCCCGGCAGCUAAUGUAAACGACCAUGUACAUCACUAGCUACUGCUUGAUGUCAGUGGCGAAAUCAGAAAAUUCAAUAAGGAUAUUCAAAUUUUGAACACUCUUUGCCCAGUGGGCUACGUAAAGGUGUUCAAAAUCUAUUUAUUAAUUAAUAACAACUACUUAAUAUUUUACCUUAUACGUAGUAUAAUUUUUUGGCGAAAGGUGUUCAGUUGACCACCCUCGGGCCAACAUAGCUUCGCCCCCUGCUUGAUGUCAUAGUAUGUUGGAUUAUCUAUGUAACUGGAUCAAGAUUUAGUGACCUCUAUUUUGUUGUGGACUUCUCACUUAUAAUAAGAAGACUUUGUUUUGUCUGUGUUU